rnacentral:rRNA from 1 species
UACGAAGGGGGCUAGCGUUGCUCGGAAUGACUGGGCGUAAAGGGCGCGUAGGCGGCCUGUUAAGUCGAACGUGAAAUCCCCGGGCUCAACCCGGGAACUGCGUCCGAUACUGGCAGGCUUGAAUUCGGGAGAGGGAUGUGGAAUUCCAGGUGUAGCGGUGAAAUGCGUAGAUAUCUGGAGGAACACCGGUGGCGAAGGCGGCAUCCUGGACCGAUAUUGACGCUGAUGCGCGAAAGCCAGGGGAGCAAACGGG